rnacentral:rRNA from 1 species
AGCAGCCGCGGUAAUUCCAGCUCCAAUAGCGUAUAUUAAAGUUGUUGCAGUUAAAAAAGCUCGUAGUUGAAUUUCGGGAUCAAUUUAUCGGUCGUACCAACGGUAUGAACUGGUACAAUUGGUUUCUCCCUUCUGACGAAGCAUGAUGUCAUUAAUUUGGUGUCGUGGGGAAUCAGGACUGUUACUUUGAAAAAAUUAGAGUGUUUAAAGCAAGCAUUAGCUUGAAUACAUUAGCAUGGAAUAAUGAAAUAGGACGUUUGAUCUUAUUUCGUUGGUUUCUAGGAUCGACGUAAUGAUUAAUAGGGAUAGUUGGGGGCAUUAGUAUUCAAUUGUCAGAGGUGAAAUUCUUGGAUUUAUUGAAGACUAACUACUGCGAAAGCAUUUGCCAAGGAUGUUUUCAUUAAUCUAAGAACGAAAGUUAGGGGAAUCGAAGACGAUCAGAUACCGUCGUAGUCUUAACAUAAACUAUGCCGACUAGGGAUCGGAUGAUGUUAAUUUUUUAAUGUACUCUAUUCGGCGC